CCUACGGGAGGCAGCAGUAGGGAAUCUUCGGCAAUGGGCGAAAGCCUGACCGAGCAACGCCGCGUGAGCGAUGAAGGCCUUCGGGUCGUAAAGCUCUGUUGUUAGAGAAGAACAAGUACGAGAGUAACUGCUCGUACCUUGACGGUACCUAACCAGAAAGCCACGGCUAACUACGUGCCAGCAGCCGCGGUAAUACGUAGGUGGCAAGCGUUAUCCGGAAUUAUUGGGCGUAAAGCGCGCGCAGGCGGUCUCUUAAGUCUGAUGUGAAAGCCCACGGCUCAACCGUGGAGGGUCAUUGGAAACUGGGAGACUUGAGUGCAGGAGAGAAAAGUGGAAUUCCACGUGUAGCGGUGAAAUGCGUAGAGAUGUGGAGGAACACCAGUGGCGAAGGCGGCUUUUUGGCCUGUAACUGACGCUGAGGCGCGAAAGCGUGGGGAGCAAACAGGAUUAGAUACCCUGGUAGUCCACGCCGUAAACGAUGAGUGCUAGGUGUUGGGGGGUUCCACCCUCAGUGCUGAAGUUAACACAUUAAGCACUCCGCCUGGGGAGUACGACCGCAAGGUUGAAACGUUAAGGAAUUGACGG
rnacentral:rRNA from 1 species